rnacentral:rRNA from 1 species
AUCCUGGCUUAGGAUGAACGCUAGCUACAGGCUUAACACAUGCAAGUCGAGGGGCAGCAUUGGGAUAGCUUGCUAUCCAGAUGGCGACCGGCGCACGGGUGAGUAACGCGUAUCCAACCUUCCCCAUAGUAGGGCACAGCCCGGCGAAAGUCGGAUUAAUUCCCUAUGCAGUCCAGAGAGGACAUCUGACCUGGACGAAAGAUUCAUCGCUAUGGGAUGGGGAUGCGUCUGAUUAGGUUGCAGGCGGGGUAACGGCCCACCUGGCCGACGAUCAGUAGGGGUUCUGAGAGGAAGGUCCCCCACAUUGGAACUGAGACACGGUCCAAACUCCUACGGGAGGCAGCAGUGAGGAAUAUUGGUCAAUGGACGGAAGUCUGAACCAGCCAAGUAGCGUGCAAGGAUGACGGCCCUAUGGGUUGUAAACUGCUUUUAUCAGGGGAUAAAGUGAGGUAUGUAUACCUUUUUGCAUGUACCUGAUGAAUAAGGACCGGCUAAUUCCGUGCCAGCCGCGGC